GAUGAAUGCUGGCGGCGUGCCUAACACAUGCAAGUCGAGCGGCAGCGAGUUUUACACUGUCUUCUGGAAGCUUCUGAGUAGUACAGAAGAUUUAUUCAAGAGUUUUGUGUAAAAUGUCGGCGAGCGGCGGACGGCUGAGUAACGCGUAGGAAUUUGCCCCAAAGUGAGGAAUAACUGCCCGAAAGGGUAGCUAAUGCCGCAUAUGGUCUUCGGAUUAAAGCCUUCGGGCGCUUUGGGAGAAGCCUGCGUUGGAUUAGGUAGUUGGUAGGGUAAUGGCCUACCAAGCCGACGAUCCAUAGCUGGUCUGAGAGGAUGAUCAGCCAGACUGGAACUGAGACACGGUCCAGACUCCUACGGGAGGCAGCAGUGAGGAAUCUUCCACAAUGGGCGAAAGCCUGAUGGAGCAACGCCGCGUGAAGGAUGAAGGCCUUCGGGUUGUAAACUUCUUUUAUGAGUGAAGAAUAUGACGGUAACUCAUGAAUAAGCACCGGCUAACUACGUG
rnacentral:rRNA from 1 species